AGAGUUUGAUCCUGGCUCAGGAUGAACGCUGGCGGCAUGCCUAAUACAUGCAAGUCGAACGAGAGGAAGGAAAGCUUGCUUUCCUGAAUCUAGUGGCGAACGGGUGAGUAACACGUAGGUAACCUGCCCAUGUGCCCGGGAUAACUUCUGGAAACGGAUGCUAAAACCGGAUAGGUAGCAGACAAGCAUUUGACUGCUAUUAAAGUGGCCUUGGCCAUGAACAUGGAUGGACCUGCGGUGCAUUAGCUGGUUGGUGAGGUAACGGCCCACCAAGGCGACGAUGCAUAGCCGGCCUGAGAGGGCGGACGGCCACAUUGGGACUGAGACACGGCCCAAACUCCUACGGGAGGCAGCAGUGGGGGAUAUUGCACAAUGGGGGAAACCCUGAUGCAGCGACGCCGCGUGGAGGAAGAAGGUUUUCGGAUUGUAAACUCCUGUCGUUAGGGACGAUAAUGACGGUACCUAACAAGAAAGCACCGGCUAACUACGUGCCAGCAGCCGCGGUAAAACGUAGGGUGCAAGCGUUGUCCGGAAUUACUGGGUGUAAAGGGAGCGCAGGCGGGAAGACAAGUUGGAAGUGAAAACCAUGGGCUCAACCCAUGAAUUGCUUUCAAAACUGUUUUUCUUGAGUAGUGCAGAGGUAGAUGGAAUUCCCGGUGUAGCGGUGGAAUGCGUAGAUAUCGGGAGGAACACCAGUGGCGAAGGCGGUCUACUGGGCACCAACUGACGCUGAGGCUCGAAAGCAUGGGUAGCAAACAGGAUUAGAUACCCUGGUAGUCCAUGCCGUAAACGAUGAUUACUAGGUGUUGGGGGAUUGACCCCCUCAGUGCCGCAGUUAACACAAUAAGUAAUCCACCUGGGGAGUACGACCGCAAGGUUGAAACUCAAAGGAAUUGACGGGGGCCCGCACAAGCAGUGGAGUAUGUGGUUUAAUUCGAAGCAACGCGAAGAACCUUACCAGGUCUUGACAUCCGAUGCAUAGCACAGAGAUGUGUGAAAUCCUUCGGGACAUCGAGACAGGUGGUGCAUGGUUGUCGUCAGCUCGUGUCGUGAGAUGUUGGGUUAAGUCCCGCAACGAGCGCAACCCUUAUUGCCAGUUACUACGUUAAGAGGACUCUGGCGAGACUGCCGUUGACAAAACGGAGGAAGGUGGGGAUGACGUCAAAUCAUCAUGCCCUUUAUGACCUGGGCUACACACGUACUACAAUGGCGUUAAACAAAGAGAAGCAAGACCGCGAGGUGGAGCAAAACUCAAAAACAACGUCUCAGUUCAGAUUGCAGGCUGCAACUCGCCUGCAUGAAGUCGGAAUUGCUAGUAAUCGCGGAUCAGCAUGCCGCGGUGAAUACGUUCCCGGGCCUUGUACACACCGCCCGUCACACCAUGAGAGCCGGGGGGACCCGAAGUCGAUAGUCUAACCGCAAGGAGGACGUCGCCGAAGGUAAAACUGGUGAUUGGGGUGAAGUCGUAACAAGGUAGCCGUA
rnacentral:rRNA from 1 species